rnacentral:rRNA from 1 species
GUCUACAGCCAUGCUACCCUGAACAAGCCCGAUCCCAUCCGAUCUCAGAAGCUAAACAGGGUCGGGCCUGGUUUGGAUGGGAGACCACCUAGGAAGAACAGGUGCUGUAGGCA